CCUCCCCAAGGCGCCCCCCGGGAGUUUUCCUCAGAGGCCCCGCGCUCGGGACGCGCCGCAGCCCCCCAUCGCCCCUUAUUUUUGGGGAGGCGCGGGUGCCCCUGCGAGGGUUUCCUCAGGGGAGCGGCAGCCGCUUCGCCCGCGAACGCCCGUGUCCUGGGCCCCAGUGAAACGCCGCCUAAAAAAGGGGCUACUUGGGGCCUUCCGGUGUUUUUUUAAAAAAAUAAAAAUAAAAAUUAUGAUGUGGAAARUUCUGAAAAUUCUGAGAAGUCUCUUGUGAGCCCAAAGCGGGUUGCCGUUCAGCGCUUAAUUAAAUACAUUUGUGAAAAAGCUUCUUAGUGCGGUAAUUGCCGACCCCCCCCUCAUGUCUCCAGAAGUUGGGAAAUUCGACGGCGAACGUUUCCUGCUCAAAGUUCGGAGAUGCACCACGUUGCUCAGUAUACUUAUGGAAAUCUCUACAGUCAUCUCAGAAAUAUAGAUAUUGCUAGACUGAAGAUGUUGGCUUUGGCCUUACCGGCAACAAGAGUUUUCCCUAAUUCCAACAGUGGACGAGCAGCGAUACCACCAAGCGAAGCAGAAACAUGAGGAACAAGAAAGAAAUACAAGGAAGGAGCUGAAGUAAAUCAGCAGGUGAAAUGAACUCGAUCUUGCAGUUAUGGUAAUGUUUUAUCUUCUGUUUACAGCAAGCAGAUGUUCUAUAGCCAUUAUUUUUACUGUUUGCAAGAAAUGAUGUUAUGCAAAGGGAUAACAGGUUUCAAAUGGUGAGUUACACAGCAAACAGGGGCAGAGCAUUUUUACGUUGGCAUGGGCACACGAAGAAUUUGUUUCCUCGUACGCUGAGCAAGUAGCUAUCUUCCUGUGACAUCUCCGAGAAAAUCAAUCCCUUCUACUCACAUCAGUGCAGGAGGGUGGCCUUAGGCGCUAAUGUGAGCCUGUGCCCCACUGAACGCGCUGGGAGAUGUGCCAUUGCAGUCAGUGUAAUCACCUCUGACUGAUGUCACGAGUCAGUUUUCACUGGCAAUUACAUCCCCAAAGUUAAACAGCAYGAAUGAAUGUAAAAACGAAUAAAAUAAAAGUCAUUUGCUAUCA
rnacentral:lncRNA from 1 species